UGACUUGGGGCUCAACCUUACGACAGUGAGAUCAUGACCUGAGCCAAAACCAAAAGUCAGAUGCUUAACUGGACUGAGCCACCCAGACACUCCAUAAGCAUCUUCUUUGUGUCUGAUAUGCUGCACCAGAAAGUUCAAAGAUUACCAUGAAGUUCCAGAGUUCAAGAAGAAGUGAGAUGAUUAUGAAAGUAAACAAGAAAAUACGACUUGGUCCAAAUGGCACUAAGAGCUGUCUGAGAGGUUCCAGGACACUUGCUUAGAGAAGACAUCUAUUUGAGGAAGUCUUACAGGAUGUGAUCAAUGCUUCUGAAUGCAUACUAAUUCCUUGUUCCUCUAGACACCCAUAUGGAGAUGUGGCCACGUUUACCAGACAUGUGGUUAUACCAAGUCUUCUUCUCUUUACAAGGCUAUGUUUUAUCAGUGGGUGGCAAGCAGAUGAGAGAUAGAGAAGAUUCUGGUUUCAAAGCAAAUAGACACCAACCUGGAUGAUGGAACGUCCACAGGCAAAACAAAGCAGGAAAAAAUGCAUAUAUCCUGCUUGGCCAAAUGGAUAUCCUGAGGAGGGUUAUUUCAAGAGAGGAGGUGUCAUCAGGACCAGGGGCUGAUGGGAGUUGCCCGAGGCACAUGGGAGAGUGUGGAAGAACUGGAAAAACUUGGGUGUUGCUGAAGGUAAGUUGUUUGGGUAUCUGUGAAGGAACCUGUUGGGUCAUUUCUACUCUUCACUAUCCUUUUCUCAGUUUGUGACACAUGUGAAUGAUAAUCUAAACAAAAGCAGGGAGAAAUGGGAAAAUGGUUUCCCUCUUUAAUUUAUCUUGGUUUAUUUCAACCUCUAUUGCAGCAAAUGCAAUGAACAUUCAAAAAGAAAGAAAUAUCAAGGAUCAUCAGUGUUUAAAGGCAAAUUCUUUCUGAAACUUAAACGUUUGUACAUGAGUGUAAUUUAUUGAAAUCUGUUUUUUCCAUUUAGCCCACUUGACCUGUUAAAAUUGAGCCCUUUUUAAGUUAAGCAUCAUGGACGUGUAGUUAUUUGAUAAUUGUCUUUCUCUGAAGAAAAAAAAAGGAAAAGUAAAUAUUCCUAGCCAUAGAUAUAGAUUAGAUAUAGAUAUAUAGAUAUACUCUUUGUUAAAUUCAUGAAUAUAUGCUAAAGUCAAGAAUAUACUUUUUGCUACAUUAAGGAGCACCUAUAAAACAAAAAUGUUUAUUUGUUUUAGGACUAAAUUAUUACUGAGCUUCUCCUCAUUCACAAUUAUACUUUGGUUUAUGAAGUAUCAGAUUGGUUUUGGCCAGGAGUAGAUUUGCUUGUCCUGAAAAACAGAUUUUGGAUAAGGGGGAUUUCAGUUUGAAAGAAUAGAUUUCUUUUAACUUAAUCCAAUCACUUGGUGUGUGUGUGUGUGUGUGUGUGUGUGUGUGUGUGUGUGUGUUCCUUUCUAGCUGACUCACCAUAUUUUUCCCCUUCAGAGUUAUAGAAGUUUAUUUGGGACUCCUGUUUGGCACAACUAAACUGUCUGUUUUAGAGAUUAUCCUACUUCAGCAAUGGGUGUGGUUUUUGUCUUUUCAAAAUUUUUAUAAAUUUGAGUUUUGUCAGCUCGUUUUCUCCAGCAAUGUUUGGAAACUUGAGAAAGUAGCUCUGAAAGUUAUUUUAUGCAUUGAUCUUGGAAUUAAAAGAACCUGGAACUAGAACUCUCAGAGCCUGAAAGAAACAACUUGUGAUAUAGGUGGGCUAAGUGCCCUCAUCUGAAAUGCAAGGACAAUGGAAGCUCAGAGAUACUGAGUGUGAUUUGUCCAAGCCUGCAAGGCUGGCUAGUGGGAGAGGUUGCUCCAAACCUAGGUUUGCCAGUUCACUGUGCACAUAUAAACAUUUUCUAGUUCUAAUAAAAGAGAGUGCAAAAAUUCCUUGAACACUAAUUACAGCUAAUUUGAAUCAUAGGUUUUGGAUAGGAUUCUCAGGAAGUUGAUGCAGAACCUUCAUAGUUACUCUACAUAAAAUUUAAAUUGAUAGAAAUUAAUAUGUCUGAGAAGCCAGAUUCAUCUAUUGGAUUACUCACCCCUAAAAUAAAACACUAUAAUUUUUUACUAUUUUUCAUAAUAGAAGGAAAGAAUAGAGUGGACUUAUGUUAUCGAAUGUCAGUAUCUGUUAAUUUCCAUCUUCCCUUCUUUAGUUAAGUCAUCAGACCUGCUAUCAGAUAGUAGGAUUCUCUCCGGUGUUUGACCUCCUGAUUCUAGGUAAGUAAGAUCAGAAAAUAAUCAAAAUGCAAGAAAUAUGCAAAUUGCAUGACAGAGAGAGAAUUUGUAUGUGUGUGUGCGUUGUAUGCAUAAAACUAUUUAUUUUGCACUUAUUAUGUUAUAGCCCCUCUGCUGAUGCUUUCAAUUACAUUAACCUUAUUUAAUUCUUAUUUAAUUCAUGAAGCUAUGAAUUUAGUGCUAUCACUUCUAUUUUACAGGUGACCUUGAGCUUGGACAAGUGAGGUAACUGACUUGAAAGCAGAGGAAAUAGUAACUUGACCACUACUCAGUACUACAUCAUGGAGAAUCUGUGGCUGAAUAAUUUUCCAGGCAAUAAUUUUAAGUUACCAAAAAUGUGUUGUUAAAAUAGUAGCCAAAUCUCAA